rnacentral:rRNA from 1 species
GAUGAACGCUGGCGGCGUGCCUAAUACAUGCAAGUCGAACGAACAGGUGCGGCUCUUGCUCCUCUGACGUUUGCGGCGGACGUGUGAGUCACGCGUGUAUCACCUCCCUAUAAGACUGGGAUCACUUCGGGAAUCCGGAGCUAAUCGCGGAUAAUAUCUUGAUCCGCGUGGUUCAUUAGUAAAAGACGGUUUUUCUGUCUCUUAUAGAUGGUUCCCGGCCGCAUUGGCUGGUUGGUAAGUUCACGGGUUACCAAGGCAACGAGGCGUAGCCGACGUGAGAGGGGGAUAGCCCACCCGAGAAGGUGAACACGGUCCAGAGUACUGCGGGAGGCAGCAGUAGGGAACCUUCCGCAAUGGGGGAAAGCCUGACGGAGCAACGCCAAGUCAGUGAUGAAGGCCUCCGGAUCGUGAAACUCGGUUACUAGGGAAGAACAAAUGUGGAAUUAACUAUGCACGUAUUGACGGUACCGAAUCAGAAAGCAACGGCUAACUACGUG